rfam:Candidatus Desantisbacteria bacterium CG2_30_40_21 cg2_3.0_scaffold_48098_c, whole genome shotgun sequence.
CCCGGUGACCAGAGCGGAGGGGCCACACCUGAUCCCAUCCCGAACUCAGAAGUUAAGCCCUCCAGCGCCGAUGGUACUGCAUUGGAGACGAUGUGGGAGAGUAGGACGUUGCCGGGG